GAAAAUCUUGGUUAGGUCCAACCAUUAAUAUGAACAUACUCAGUGCAUCUAAUAACAGAUAUUAGAUCCGAGUGUCGCUUGGCCAAUCUAACCAUCCAUCACCAGCAUUUCGAUAAUCCUUCCACUGACUUCACCAAGUCAUUGUAUUAGGAUUAGAAACAAGCUGGUUCAAGAAUACUUGAAUCAAUCACACUGAUUAACUUUAAUGGCAUGGGUCGACUCGAAUCAAUCAACGACCUAAUCAAAAAUAUAAUCUAUCAAAUUGACCAGAUAAGUGAG
rnacentral:lncRNA from 1 species